rnacentral:tRNA from 1 species
GUCAACGUCGAAAAAUAUGGCGUUUCGAUGAUUUGUAAUCAUCAGGUGGCGGGUUCGAGUCCUGCAGCCGGCACCA